rnacentral:rRNA from 1 species
UACAGAGGUGGCUAGCGUUGUUCGGAAUUACUGGGCGUAAAGGGAGCGCAGGCGGCCAGGCAAGUCUGAAGUGCAAGCCCGGGGCUCAACCCCGGAAUCGCUUUGGAAACUGCCAGGCUUGAGUAUGUCAGAGGUGAGCGGAAUUCCAGGUGUAGCGGUGAAAUGCGUAGAUAUCUGGAGGAACAUCCGUGGCGAAGGCAGCCCCCUGGGAUAACACUGACGCUCAUGCACGAAAGCGUGGGGAGCAAACAGGAUUAGAAACCCUGGUAGU